rnacentral:rRNA from 1 species
AUUGAACGCUGGCGGCAUGCCUUACACAUGCAAGUCGAACGGUAACAGGUCUUCGGAUGCUGACGAGUGGCGAACGGGUGAGUAAUACAUCGGAACGUGCCUAGUAGUGGGGGAUAACUACUCGAAAGAGUGGCUAAUACCGCAUGAGAUCUACGGAUGAAAGCAGGGGAUCGCAAGACCUUGUGCUACUAGAGCGGCCGAUGGCAGAUUAGGUAGUUGGUGGGAUAAAAGCUUACCAAGCCGACGAUCAGUAGCUGGUCUGAGAGGAUGAUCAGCCACACUGGGACUGAGACACGGCCCAGACUCCUACGGGAGGCAGCAGUGGGGAAUUUUGGACAAUGGGCGCAAGCCUGAUCCAGCAAUGCCGCGUGCAGGAUGAAGGCCUUCGGGUUGUAAACUGCUUUUGUACGGAACGAAAAGCCCUGGGUUAAUACCCUGGGGUCAUGACGGUACCGUAAGAAUAAGCACCGGCUAACUACGUGCCAGCCGCCGCUGUAAUAC